AUGAUAUCGCUGAUCGUGCCACCCCGUGAUCAGGUAUGUCGAGUCACCAAGCUGUUGGGUGAUGAACAUGGGACCGCCUCAAACAUCAAGAGGAGAGUCAACAGGCAGUCUGUCUUGGCAGCUAUUACCUCUGCCCAGCAAAAGUUGAAGCUGUACAAUCGAGUUCCCACCAAUGGAUUGGUGCUUUACACCGGAACCAUCCUCACCGAUGAGGGGAAAGAAAAGAAGGUCAGCAUUGAUUUUGAGCCAUUCAGGCCAGUUAAUGCGUUCAUGUAUCUCUGUGACAACAAGUUCCACACCGAGGCACUGCAUGAGAUGCUCGAGUCCGAUGAUAAGUUUGGCUUCAUUGUCAUGGACGGUAAUGGAACGCUGUUUGGAACCCUGAGUGGCAACACUAGGGAGGUUCUACACAAGUUCUCUGUUGAUCUCCCAAAGAAGCAUGGCCGAGGAGGGCAGUCAACACUUCGCUUUUCCCGCCUGCGCGUGGAGACCCGGCACAACUAUGUGCGCAGGACGGCUGAGCUUGCUACUAGAUUCUUCAUUGACCCUGCCACUAGCCAGCCAAAUGUUUCUGGUCUCAUUCUAGCUGGUUGCGCUGACCUCAAGACUGAAUUGAGUCAAUCUGACCUGUUUGAUCAGCGCUUGGCAGCCAAGAUACUGAAGGUUGUCACUGUCUCUCAUGGUGGAGAGGAUGGCUUCAACCAGGCCAUUGAGAUAUCUACUGAAGUCCUUUCCAAUGUCAAGUUCAUCCAAGAAAAAAGGUUGAUGGGAAAGUACUUUGAGGAGAUAAGCCAAGACACUGGGAAGUAUGUUUCUGGUGUGGAUGACACCAUGUCUGCCCUUGAAAUGGGUGCAGUUGAAACACUGAUUGUGUGGGAAAAUCUUGAUAUCAAUAGAUACAUCUUGAAGAAUUCUGCUACCGAAGAAACUGUGGUAAAGCACUUCGACGAGGCACAGGAGGCAGAUCAGAGCAACUUCAAAGAUAAGGCGACAUCGGCAGUGUUGGAGGUGGUUGAGAGGACCGUGCUGCUGGAGUGGUUUGCCGAAAACUAUUGGCAGUUUGGUUGUGCGCUGGAGCUCAUCACGAACAAUACGGAGCAAGGAUCUCAGUUCUGUUCGGGCUAUGGUGGGAUAGGAGGGAUCCUCCGCUACCGGGUUGACUUGAACGCUUACAAAGACCCAUCUGAUGAGGAGUAUGAUGAAGGCUUUGAGGAGCAAUCUACUGAAACUCCAGUGAAUUCAGUCCGGGAGGAGCCUGCCGUAGCCUGGAACCAGAACGCUCCGCGACAGGAGGCCGAGGCAUCUACAAGCUCAUCCAGGAAAAAUUAA
rnacentral:rRNA from 1 species